GAUGAAGAACGUAGCGAAAUGCGAUACUUGGUGUGAAUUGCAGAAUCCCGUGAACCAUCGAGUCUUUGAACGCAAGUUGCGCCCGAAGCCAUUAGGCCGAGGGCACGCCUGCCUGGGCGUCACACGUCGUUGCCCCCCCAUCUACUCCUUCGGGAUUGCGGGGGGCGGAUGAUGGCCUCCCGUGCGCCUCGUCGCGCGGUUGGCAUAAAUGCCAAGUCCUCGGCGACGCACGCCACGACAAUCGGUGGUUGCGAAACCUCGGUUGCCCGUCGUGUGCGGUCGUCGCGCAUCGAGGGCUCGAAAAAAUUGCCGGGCUCCGGCUCGGCUUUCAACGCGACCCCAGGUCAGGCGGGGUUACUCGCUGAAUUUAAGCAUAUCAAUAAGCGGAGGA
rnacentral:misc_RNA from 1 species